CCAUUUGGGAGCUCAGAGCCCGCCCUCCCGCGGGGGUGGCUCUGGAGGCGGGAGGCUCCGGAGGGAAGAGGUUUCUGGAAGGUUCCUAUGGAAGGUUCCCUUCGGAGCGGCGGGAGCGCCGGCGGGGCGAAGUGAUGAAUGUGCCACACGGGACAAACGUGGAUGUUGUGGUAUUAAAGAUUGAAGAUCCAAGUUGCUUUUGGCUUGCUGUGAAAGAAUGUGUACCAGGCCAAAUCUAUGAAGUGGCAUACAACAACCUGAAUGCUCAAAUGACUGAGUUCUAUGACAAACAUAAAGAUGUGAAGAAAUUAAAACCAGAGGCGAUAGAAGGCGACCAGGUAAAGUCAUUGCUGUAUCAUGUACAUAGAAAUAGUCUGUUCUUUGCAUUGGUUUGAGGUGAAGUGACAGAUGCUUGCUUUUUUGGGGGGUUUGUAUAGCUAUGUAGAAAAGUAGAUAAUGGGAUCUCUGUGGGUUUUGUGUUCUCAUUCUCAUCUGUAAGCUUCAUAACUGCACACGCUGCAGUGCUUGCAUUUUACGAAGAAAAUGUAGGGCUGUGUAAUAAAUGUUCUUGCCUCUGAAAGACCUCUGAGUGU
rnacentral:lncRNA from 1 species